rnacentral:rRNA from 1 species
GACGAACGCUGGCGGCGUGCUUAACACAUGCAAGUCGAACGAUGAAGCUGGAGCUUGCUCCGGCGGAUUAGUGGCGAACGGGUGAGUAACACGUGAGCAAUCUGCCCUUCACUCUGGGAUAACUGCGGGAAACUGUAGCUAAUACCGGAUACGAAGCCUUGGGGCAUCCCAGGGCUUGGAAAGAAUUUCGGUGAAGGAUGAGCUCGCGGCCUAUCAGCUAGUUGGUGAGGUAAUGGCUCACCAAGGCGACGACGGGUAGCCGGCCUGAGAGGGUGACCGGCCACACUGGGACUGAGACACGGCCAAGACUCCUACGGGAGGCAGCAGUGGGGAAUAUUGCACAAUGGGCGAAAGCCUGAUGCAGCAACGCCGCGUGAGGGAUGAAGGCCUUCGGGUUGUAAACCUCUUUUAGUAGGGAAGAAGCGCAAGUGACGGUACCUACAGAAAAAGCACCGGCUAACUACGUGCCAGCAGCCGCCGCCG